rnacentral:lncRNA from 1 species
UUCCAGAAGACAGCCACUGGAACACCCCCACCCCCAUCCCCCACUGCCUGUAGGAAGCGCGCGGUGGAAGAGGAGCUGGACUCCUGUCGAGCCAGGCUGCGCACAGUGGAGGCUCAGCUGCUGGAGGUCCUGCAGGAGAAACUGAAGCUGAAACAGGAGGUGGAGGCCUGGGAGGAAGACAUGCAGCAUAUGGUUCGAGAGCGGGUGCGGAGUCAGCUGCAGGGAGAGCCCAGAGGCACCCUGGGAACACACGAGAACACAAGCCCGGGCAGAAGUUCCUGGAUUCAACUCUCCCGGGGUCAGUGGGGGCGACGGUGGUGAAAACGGAUCCAGGGCUUAAAGGGGAACUGUCUUUAUUCAUUAAAAGUGUUGGGCCACUUCUGUACUCCUGGACCCUCUCCGUGCCCCUGAGUUUUUCUGUGCAGAAGCAAGAUGGCACAGAUCCCAAGCCUAGAGUCCCCUGGCUGCUCUUCCAAGGAGCUACUUCUUAAGCCAAGAAGCUGGUGACAGCAUCCAUGAAGUCUUGGGGUUUGUCGCUGUGGACCCAGUGGCCAGCGUUAGGCACGGUCUGAAUCUGGGCUUGAGGGAAGAGUCGCCUAAUCUCUGAGUGGUGGCUGGGUCUGGCCGCCAUAGUGAAGCCAAUGGAGAGGGAAGACAAUGGAGAGGUGUGGGGAGAGGGAGAAAGGGAGAGAGAGAGAACAGGAGAGAGAGAUGUGCAUGAGCCUUCAUGCGCAGUGGUAUUGCCAGGCUCCCAGAUACCCCGCCUCCCCUAGCCCACGCAGGCUCCCAUAGCUGGUGGUGGGCAAAGCAUGCCCCUUCCUAUGGUCCCACACCGGCUUACUGUACAUAUGUAGAAUUUCCACCAAGCAGGAAGAGAGUUGGCCCCGAGUAGGGUUCACGUUGCUGAGGAAAGGUCAUUAUCUUGUCCAAGUGCUGAGCUAACGUAUCCAAGUUCAGUCUCCAGGAGAAUCGCCCACCCACCUCUACCAGGUUAGUGAGCAGGAACUGCCGAAUGCCCGCUUCCUGUGGGGAGACCUGGCAGCUGUGAAGGGGCUCCCUGUGAGGCCCACCCACCACUUUUCCUCUGACACACACCAUGGGGAAAGGGGGGGGGGGCGUGCGUCACCUUGACAACCGAACUAAGCUGCUUAUCCGCCAGUUUUCGGGCUUGGGAGUGCGGCACCUUCUCUGGGAUCUCAACAGCCUUCAUGGCUGCUAUGAAGGCUCCAAUGUGUGAUCCAGGUGUGGUUCCUACCGGGCUUAUGUCUACAACAACCAAUCGUUCCACAACAUCUGGCUGGGAGACAGAAUCAGACCAGAGCAGGUCCCAGACAAACUCUGAGCCGCCAGCAGAGUUUCUGGACCUGGCCAUCCAAAGUGUGGAUGAGUCCCACGUUAUCAAUGGGCUUAGAGUGCAUUAAGAGGACCCAGAUAGGUGUAGCUUACCCUCUGCAGUGCCAGGAGCAUGGCUGUCUUUCCUCCCAUGCUGUGGCCAACGAGGACGCAGGGCACCAGACCCAGCUGUGGAAGGAGGCCCUGAAGGUCCUGACUCAUGGCCUCAUAGCUUGCGUCUGGACUGUGGGGGCUGUCACCGUGGUUCCGGGCAUCCACCGUCAGCACC